GUGCCAACAGGUCGUAGAAAGGAAUCUCGUCCUCGUAAUAACAGAUUUCUACUUCGAAGAAUUCUACUACGAAGGAAAUAAAUGCAGCAGAAAAUACGAUGGUAUCGUUCAACGACCUCGUAUAAAUAAGUGUAUUGGUAUAAAUAGACGCGUAAUAGAGAGAGAGAGAGAGAGAGAGAGAGAGAAAGA